UUCGGACAAGGGACCAAGCUGACUGUGACUGGCUCCAGCCUCUCUCCUCCUGUCCUGACUGUCUUCCCUCCGUCCAGUGCUGAGCUCUGCUCCAACAAAGCCAGUCUGCUCUGUCUGUCCAGUCAGUCUGUGCGUUUUGCAGAAGUGACCUGGUUGGUCGGUGGGAGCCCAGUGAGCAGUGGGAUCUCUACCAGCACCGCCGUCCAGCAACCGGACCAGACUUUCCAAAUCAGCAGCUAUCUGGCCAUCCAGACGUCAGACUGGAACAUGGACAAGAUUUACACAUGUAAAGUGUCUCUGGGCUCCCAGACGUCAGAGAAAAACAUCAACAAGUCCGUCUGCCCCACUGAAGAAUAACAGAGGAGCAGAAUGACCAUUUUAAUCCUGGUCCUUUUCUCCUGUUUGUGCUUUGUUUCAUGCAGGAGAAUGUGUUUGUAUGCUUGUGACACACGUUGUGAGGGUUGGGUGGUGGUGUUCUAUCAACUUUGCAACUGUUGCUUUCAAUAAAAAAUCAUUAUGAACA